GACGAACGCUGGCGGCGUGCUUAACACAUGCAAGUCGAACGGAAAGGCCCCUUUGGGGGUACUCGAGUGGCGAACGGGUGAGUAACACGUGAGUAACCUGCCCUUGACUUCGGGAUAACUUCAGGAAACUGGGGCUAAUACCGGAUAGGAAUCCUUGCUGCAUGGUGGGGGUUGGAAAGCUUCGGCGGUUUUGGAUGGACUCGCGGCUUAUCAGCUUGUUGGUGGGGUAGUGGCUUACCAAGGCUUUGACGGGUAGCCGGCCUGAGAGGGCGACCGGCCACAUUGGGACUGAGAUACGGCCCAGACUCCUACGGGAGGCAGCAGUGGGGAAGAUUGCACAAUGGGCGGCAGCCUGAUGCAGCAACGCCGCGUGCGGGAUGACGGCCUUCGGGUUGUAAACCGCUUUCAGCAGGGGCGAAGCUUGUGGUGACGGUACCUGCAGAAGAAGCACCGGCUAACUACGUG
rnacentral:rRNA from 1 species